UGAGUAAUGUCUGGGAAACUGCCCGAUGGAGGGGGAUAACUACUGGAAACGGUAGCUAAUACCGCAUAACGUCGCAAGACCAAAGUGGGGGACCUUCGGGCCUCACACCAUCGGAUGUGCCCAGAUGGGAUUAGCUAGUAGGUGGGGUAAUGGCUCACCUAGGCGACGAUCCCUAGCUGGCCUGAGAGGAUGACCAGCCACACUGGAACUGAGACACGGUCCAGACUCCUACGGGAGGCAGCAGUGGGGAAUAUUGCACAAUGGGCGCAAGCCUGAUGCAGCCAUGCCGCGUGUAUGAAGAAGGCCUUCGGGUUGUAAAGUACUUUCAGUGGGGAGGAAGGCGAUGAAGUUAAUAGCUCCGUCGAUUGACGUUACCCGCAGAAGAAGCACCGGCUAACUCCGUGCCAGCAGCCGCGGUAAUACGGAGGGUGCAAGCGUUAAUCGGAAUUACUGGGCGUAAAGCGCACGCAGGCGGUCUGUCAAGUCGGAUGUGAAAUCCCCGGG
rnacentral:rRNA from 1 species